UUGAAGUUGAAUUGCCAUUAAAGCAGGUCAGUGUCUAGUUGAUACUGUACGUUGAUGAUUUAGAAAUGUGCAAUCCCCUCAGUACGUCAAGAAAGAAGCACAACAUUUGUGGAUUGUAUUGUAUUCUGGGAAGUUUGCCUCCAGGUUGUCAGUCCGCUUUGUCGUCGAUGUAUUUGAAUGCUUUAAUCAAAAGCGAUGAUGUGAAGUACUAUGGUUUUGAGAAAUUGCUAGAACCCCUGAUAAGGGAUCUUGUUAUUUUAGAACAGCAUGGCAUUUUUGUCUUAAAGUUGGGCCCGAGUAAAAAGCACAGUUCAGUGUGUUGUCGCUGACAAUCUUGGUGUGCAUGGUAUUGCAGGUUUUGUUGAGAAUUUCACAGGGACAUACCCAUGCAGAUUCUGCACAGCAGAGCAGUUAGAAUUUCACUCCAAAAUAGUUUGAACCGGAGCUUUCUGUCUAAAAACUAAGGAGAUGCAUGCAGGCCAUCUGAGGGAGCUUAAGGAAAAUGACCUGACCAGCUAUUAUGGUGUUAAAAAAAAUGUUUUGUCAAAGCACAUUUCCUAUUUCGAUGUGACCACUGGUUUUCCCCCUGGAAAUGUUCACAAUCUCUUCGAAAGAAUAUUCCCUCAUGAGUUUGCAGUGUACCAGAGUGUAUGCAUGACAAAAAAGUACUUCACAAUAGCAACUUUGAACGAGGUGAUACAAAGCUUUCUUUUUAAGUAGACUGACAAAACUAAUCACAGUAUUCCUGGCUAAAAGUGUGACACAUAAUGAAUUGAAGUACACGAAUGGGAUGAUCUUGGCACAUGGUUCACUAGGGGGAUUGCCAGAGUUUAGUGAAAUCAUCCAAAUUAUGAUAUUGCAAGAGAAGUUGAUCUUCAUUGUCAGAAAGCUGUGUGCAUGGUGACUUGAACACUACAGAGCUAAUGAUCUUCAAUUAUCGGAUAACAAUGAAGUGGAACUCGUUGAGCCACAUGAACUCAAAGAUGUACACCCGCUGGCAGACUACAUAAUGUGUCUGGUCACAGAGAGACGAUAUAUGUUUAAAGCUCAGAUUGGUAAAUAUGGUCUUAGUUCAUUAUAAUCAAUGAAGCCCUACAUGAUGAGUUUAAUGCUACAUUGAUAGAUGUAACAAACCAUGAAUGACUAACUGUGUCUGUUUCUGCUCUCUUUGUGUGCCCCUUUUUCUAUCAAAAUGGCUGGAGCCCGCAAGAUAAGGGCAUCUUCGGGGAGAACAACACUGAAAAACUGAACUUCCAGAAUGGCAUACCGGAAAUGAUGGAUGACCUACUCAAAACGAUAAAGAUUGACUUUCGGUUGAAUGGCAACAUUAGGCUGCAAUACAUAGACAAAGAUUUUGACAAUGAGUACUUCAAUCUGACUACUACCUCUGAACUUGAGGAUUUGGGGCCAGUGAAGGUGAUCCAGCAACACACCAACUCACCUUUUACCAGUACCCCUGUUGAGACUGCUUCUCACUCUAACGACUGCAUUUCCAUAGCAUCGGAUGACACGCUGAUCCUCUCGUCCUCUGAGUCUGUGUCAUCCUGAACAGAACAUUGGCCAAAGGACUUUCCGAUUCCACGCUCUCAUAUGACAGUGUGAUCCAACUUGAGAGGGCAAAUGCUGAAUACCAGUUUAGCCAAACAAUGCUGACUAUCAGCUCCAAGCUGAAAACCGAUAUACUGGAUAAACUCACAGAGGAAAUCUUCAAAUACAAGGCCUACCCAGAAAAAAUAGACUUAUGCACGGUUUUGGAGGCCUUAAUCAAGAAGCACCCCUGAUUGAAAGAACCCAGAUCAUUCAAUGGUUUCUACGGUUGGAAACAAAGACUUAAGCACAAAAUGGAAAACUACAGGACGUAGCUCAAAUUACUCUGGUGUCUUGAGGUCUCAGUUAACUCACUGAAAUCCAAAGUGACUGCUGAUCCUUUCCCUAUAAAAAAGGUAAGGCCCAAAAGUUUCUGAGGCUAACUACUACCAAUCCAUCCCUACUGGUCAGUCUCCCUAAAGCCUUGAAAAAGAGAGGCUUGAACUUCUGAAAGAGGUUGGGGAAAGUAAUAAUGAGAAGACUAUCUGGGACAAAAUGGCAGGAGGUGGAGAGCAAGCAACCCAGGAUUGAAGGUUUUAAGACAAUAUGGCCUAUGCUGUUCCAAGAGAAAGAGAUCAAUGCUGAGUUUCUGAGGACAAGUUCAUGGCCAAGUUAGACGUGCAUUCAAGUCAGAGUAAUCCAAGCCAAAGGAGGAACAACGUGGGAAAAGACCACUGACAUCAUGAACAUUUUGGAUCAGUAACCAAUUCCUGAGUGUCCCAAAUCCUGGGAGAGAGAGAGGCUAAGAAUAAACUUUAUGACAGGUGGCACCAGAAGAAUAUGU